CAGAGGGUGCGAGCGUUAAUCGGAAUUACUGGGCGUAAAGCGCACGUAGGUGGCGACGUAAGUCGGGUGUGAAAGCCCCGGGCUCAACCUGGGAAUUGCAUUCGAGACUGCAUCGCUGGAGUACGGAAGAGGAAGGCGGAAUUCCCGGUGUAGCAGUGAAAUGCGUAGAUAUCGGGAGGAACAUCAGUGGCGAAGGCGGCCUUCUGGUCCAGUACUGACACUCAAGUGCGAAAGCGUGGGGAGCAAACAGGAUUAGAUACCCUGGUAGUCCACGCCCUAAACGAUGACGACUGGAUGUCGGAGGGGUCUGCCUUUCGGUGUCGUAGCUAACGCGUUAAGUCGUCCGCCUGGGGAGUACGGCCGCAAGGUUG
rnacentral:rRNA from 1 species